rnacentral:rRNA from 1 species
AUUGAACGCUGGCGGCAGGCCUAACACAUGCAAGUCGAGCGGAUGAAGAGAGCUUGCUCUCUGAUUUAGCGGCGGACGGGUGAGUAAUGCCUAGGAAUCUGCCUGGUAGUGGGGGAUAACGUCCGGAAACGGGCGCUAAUACCGCAUACGUCCUACGGGAGAAAGCAGGGGACCUUCGGGCCUUGCGCUAUCAGAUGAGCCUAGGUCGGAUUAGCUAGUUGGUGAGGUAAUGGCUCACCAAGGCUACGAUCCGUAACUGGUCUGAGAGGAUGAUCAGUCACACUGGAACUGGGACACGUUCCAGACUCCUACGGGAGGCAGCAGUGGGGAAUAUUGGACAAUGGGCGAAAGCCUGAUCCAGCCAUGCCGCGUGUGUGAAGAGGGUCUUCGGAUUGUAAAGCACUUUAAGUUGGGAGGAAGGGCAGUAAGUUAAUACCUUGCUGUUUUGACGUUACCGACAGAAUAAGCACCGGCUAACUUCGUGCCAGCCGCCGCAGUAACAC